CAUAGAAUCUCCAGGAGCUGUACACCUCAACAUUCUUUUUCUUUUAAAGCAUCCUGCAAAAUUCUUGUUUUUAGGACAAGAAAUAUAUUCUAACAAUCUCAUCAAUUCAGAUAAGGUAAAGUGACCCAUGACCAGAAAGAGGACAUUUAUAGGACACUGGUGAAGCCACAAAAGCAGCCUUGAGUUUGGUAUGUCCCUAGCUGUGCCGGGCAUGGUGGUGGGAGAGCUUAUUAUCUGGACUGGAGCAGAGGCAGUAAAGAAACUCAAGCAUUUUACUAAUCAAGAUCAUAGUGAACACAAUGAAUGGCACUAGGGAGCAGGAAAAGUUUAAAAACAAACAAAAUUCCAACUGAGAGACUGGGGAUGUGACUUAGCAAGCAAGCACUAGCUUUAGUGUGGGCAAGGUUGAACUAGCAUGUCCCAGGCAUGUAAGUUCUGAAUAACAAUCACCAACCUCCAGAGUAAUAAGCCCUUGUUUACUGACAGAACUACAGGCUGAUUAAAGUCAUACUCGGACUGGUGAGAGGCCAUGUCACAAGGCACUGGGCCUGAGUACCAAAGUCAAGAUCAAUCUGAGAAGGCUAAUAAAGUGCUUUAAACAUGUA